rnacentral:rRNA from 1 species
CAGUCGCCACGGUAAAACGUAGGUCCCGAGCGUUGUCCGGAUUUAUUGGGCGUAAAGCGAGCGCAGGCGGUUAGAUAAGUCUGAAGUUAAAGGCUGUGGCUUAACCAUAGUACGCUUUGGAAACUGUUUAACUUGAGUGCAAGAGGGGAGAGUGGAAUUCCAUGUGUAGCGGUGAAAUGCGUAGAUAUAUGGAGGAACACCGGUGGCGAAAGCGGCUCUCUGGCUUGUAACUGACGCUGAGGCUCGAAAGCGUGGGGAGCAAACAGGAUUAGAUACCCCAGUAGUCCCUGUCUCUUAUACA